CUUCUUUUAAUCACCACUUUAUCUCUUGAUCUUGACAUUUCAGCGCUGGUUUCUCUAGAUCUGAGGGAUCUUUGAAGUUCAUUUUAACCUGAUUUCCCCCGAGGAAAUAUAUCUCAGUACAAGGGGACUGCAUCCCAUGUGACUUGCCCCCAGGCCCCAAAGCCCUCCGGAGCCAGUCCCAGUCCACGGGCAACACACACAGGGAAUUUUAAUGCACAGUUAAUUGGAAGGUUUUUUACCAACCUUUGCCCUUUUACUUGCCCAGAGAGCAGUGUUUACCAUAGAAAAUAACAUUUGAAAAGCUUGCAAAAAGCUAAAAAAUAGGUUGUGACUUGUCAUAUGUUCUCGUGUGGGAGUCUUCAUUAUGGUGCAGGAUCAAAGCUUAAUGAGUGAAUGCACUUAUUCGGUUGUUCAUUCUUCUGCCUCACAAAAGAGCUGGAGGCAGCCUGCAAGAAAUGGGAGCUCUCUCUGGAACAUCAGGACGACCAGCGUGAAGGACAAGGACUCCGCGAUAAGGUGGACAAUCAUGCGCCGCUCAAAAGCAUGGUCAGUGGAAACCACGGGAUAGAAAAUACUUGCUUUCUUGCUGGGCGGGAGAGUAAGGAGCCAUCACAUUGCUGUGAUACAUAGGAUUGUCAAUUCGCAAAUUCUGAGCG
rnacentral:lncRNA from 1 species